GGAUAGAUAUGUCUAGUGGCGAUGACGGCAGGUUGUAACCCUGUUACGUAAGAUACACCGUAGGUUCGACUCCUACUCUGUCCACCA
rnacentral:tRNA from 1 species